UACGUAGGGUGCAAGCGUUGUCCGGAAUUAUUGGGCGUAAAGAGCUCGUAGGCGGUCUGUCGCGUCUGCUGUGAAAACUCAGGGCUUAACCCUGAGCUUGCAGUGGGUACGGGCAGACUAGAGUGCGGUAGGGGAGACUGGAAUCCUGGUGUAGCGGUGAAAUGCGCAGAUAGUCAGGAGGAACACCGGUGGCGAAGGCGGGUCUC
rnacentral:rRNA from 1 species